GCUGUUCUCCAGCCUGUCCACACUGGACGCCAUAGCCAGCCUGGUGUCUUCCACACUCUACACGCUCAUCUACAACGCCACCGUCGACUCAUUUAGGGGAUCUGUGUUCAUGCUAAUGGCCGCUCUCUGCUUCUUAGACGGCUGCAUACUUUUGGCAUUCCGUAUGGUGCGCAGAUCUGACACAUCGUCCACUGAGUACGAAGUGAGACCAGGAGGGGAAGAGGAGGAGAAAGUGGGGACUGCCCAAGUCAGCGCCAAUGAAACAACGCCUUUGUUGAAAGCAGACUGAUGUUCCGGUGUGUUAGAAGAGGAUAUUAUUUAUAAACGGAUUGCAUUUUGAAUA